UACAGGGGGUGCACACGUUGCUCGGAAUCAUUGGGCGUAAAGCGCACGUAGGCGGUUCGUUAUGUCGGAUGUGAAAGCCCUUGGCUUAACCGAGGAAGUGCAUCCGAAACUGGCGAGCUAGAGUACGAAAGAGGAUCGCGGAAUUCCCGGUGUAGAGGUGAAAUUCGUAGAUAUCGGGAGGAACACCGGUGGCGAAGGCGGCGAUCUGGGUCGAUACUGACGCUGAGGUGCGAAAGCGUGGGGAGCAAACAGG
rnacentral:rRNA from 1 species